AACCAGAUGAGACAACAGCUCUUAGGUUAAUUAUCAGAGUACUUAACAUUCCUAGAUUGGUUGGAUCUUCAGAUUCUGUUCCUGAAGACAUGGAAGGGCCAACUACAUAUGCAUUCAGCAAGGUUAAAGAAAUGAGAUUCAAGAAAGACACUUAGAUCUUCACACAGAAAGAGUCCUUGUUUUGGACCUGGGGUUACUUUCCUCAAUAAGAAAGCUGUGAAGCUCACCUCAGAUGACCAAAUGGAAAGUGCAGCAGCCCAGCUGAUAUGUUCUGAUGCACAGUAGAUUAAGACUCCAGAGUGUUGCUGGGUGCGGACUUUGAAGCUGAGGUGCAGAAGGCUAAGCAGGCUUUUAGAGGCUGCUCUUGGUGUGUGCUAGCUGACCAGGAGAACUGAGAGCUGGUUGGUGUUCAAGGUAGUCUAGGAGAGGACACGCCCUUCUUACUGGGCCAUACGCCCUGCAAAGCCAGG
rnacentral:lncRNA from 1 species